rfam:Salmo salar isolate Sally breed double haploid chromosome ssa12, whole genome shotgun sequence.
GUCGUCAAAGAGUGUUAAGUCGCUCUGGAUAAGAGCGUCUGCUAAAUGACGUAAA